ensembl:piRNA 21ur-6545 ncRNA
UUCCGAUCUAGAUUUCAUCUA